rnacentral:rRNA from 1 species
UACGUAGGUGGCAAGCGUUAUCCGGAAUUAUUGGGCGUAAAGAGCGCGCAGGUGGUUGAUUAAGUCUGAUGUGAAAGCCCACGGCUUAACCGUGGAGGGUCAUUGGAAACUGGUCGACUUGAGUGCAGAAGAGGGAAGUGGAAUUCCAUGUGUAGCGGUGAAAUGCGUAGAGAUAUGGAGGAACACCAGUGGCGAAGGCGGCUUCCUGGUCUGUAACUGACACUGAGGCGCGAAAGCGUGGGGAGCAAGCAGGGAUUAGA